rnacentral:rRNA from 1 species
CACGUAGGGGGCAAGCGUUGUCCGGAUUUAUUGGGCGUAAAGAGCUCGGUAGGCUGUUCGGUAAGUCGGGUGUGAAAGCCCCGGGCUCAACCUGGGAAUUGCAUUCGAGACUGAAUAGCUAGGGUACGGUAGAGGGAAGCGGAAUUUCCGGUGUAGCGGUGAAAUGCGUAGAUAUCGGAAGGAACAUCAGUGGCGAAAGGCGGCUUCCUGG